GGUGCACGCACGAUCUCAGGUCCAAGAAAAGAGUGGCCGCCAGUGUCCCUCCCUCCCCCAGUGAAGAAAGCUGUCUUUGAGAAACCAGAGUGGGGAGAGGAAUGUACAGUUCCUCAUUUGACCUCCGAGAACGGCGCAAAUCUGUUUGAAAGUGUACCUACCUCGCACCAGCGCCUUUUACUGGAUAGCUGGUCUCUGAAGAACUACCCUGAAGUCAGCUCCUCCGCCUUCCGCUCCUACAGAAAGCAAAGAAAAUUUUCAGAGUGGAAAGCAGUGAAAGCAACAGGUCUCUUGGCAAGGAACUCAGACUCGUGGGCCCGGGAAGUACAUGCUGGCAUGGAGGGACAGAGACGCUGGGGUGCUGCCGCUGAGAGACCAGUGUGCGACGCACGGAGGCCUGAAAUCUCGAGGUUUACUCCUCAUAGGCACACAGGGGCAUCUGCGCCAAAAGGCAGAAGCUUCGCUCAAACGAUCGCUCAUACCGUCUUACUCGAGAGCUGCUUUGAGCCAGUGAAGUCCAUGUCAAGGAGUGUAGAUCAUUUCAGAUGAGAGCUGAGGAAUCCAGAUACCCAGGCCAUCCAAAAGCUGCAACCUUAGUUGCUCCCACUGUCCAAGGAAUGUUCUAGAUCUACACAAGAGCUAUACAGCCUAGUAUGAGAGCCACAACAUUAGAGCACACCACUUCCGUUGCUGCCGCCUGCCUGGGGUCUGACGCAUGUCUGCAAAUGAAGAGGGAUGCAAAAGCUGUCAAAGACCAACACCUGAAGUGAUACUCACUGGCACAUGAGCAAAAGAACAGUGUAACUGAAUUUAAUAAGAUUUAAAAUUCAUACUGGCUGCCCAGCUAGUGUACUGAGACUCAUGAUCUUGGGGUCACAGAGGAAACCCAUGUUGGGUGUCUGACCUCAGAGCAAUUGCUGGUAUUUGGUGUAUACUAUCUACUGAGAUGGGAAUCAGAUCCUGAGAACAGAGAGGUGGCCGGCUCCUACUAAUGUUUGUUGCAGCCUGUAGCUGUGCACAGCCGGCUCGACGGAGCUCUCCUUAGAUGGAAUCUGUUGACCCACCAUAUCCCUGUUCCUUUGGUUUUGGUGACAUAGUGAGGGGCUUCUAGCAGAACAAUCUACCUGUAAUUGUGAGGACCAGCUUUGGUUAGAAGCAGAGGCCUGUGAUUCCCAAGCCUUGGUUAUCAUUCCAAACAGCAUCUAUAAUACCAACCACAUCUGCCAGUUCCCAAGCCAAUCAUCAUUCCAAAAUGAUGCAGCCCCUGGUCUCUCUUAAAAAGAGAGCUUAGCUGGAGUAUGAACCCAAGACCUCUACACACCCUAAACAACACUCAUUCCCCUGGACCUGUGUAGCUCAGAGUUCUCAUGGUCUGAGGUGAGUUUACUAUACCCUGUGCUACUCCAUCAGCAACUGUCUCAUUUUCUACUUUAUGAAUUUCCCCCUUCCCAUCAUUUAUCAGGGAAAGAUUUGAUUCCAUCCUCCAAGAGGAAAACAGGAAACGGGGGUGGGGUGGGGGGCUCUAGGGUUGCUAGUUAUCAAGUUCUGUCUUGGGAAAGUACCCAGGAAGACUUCUUGUCACUCAGUUAAGAGAUGGAGCAGAGUUUGAACUCCCAAACCCACCCUCAGGCAUUGCAGACUCCCAGACCCACUCCUGGGACCCAGCCACAUUCUGGAGUCAAACUGGGUGAGGAUAAGAACAGAACUCAGAGACAGCAGUAGUGGGGGAGGACGAAGGUCAGGCCUGGAGAAGGGAACACACCUACCCAAGAGUGGAACUUGCCAGUCUGUGGGGAAACAGUGGCUUCCCCUUAAAGAAUAAGAACCUUCAAAAUGCUCUGGCCUCAGCAAAAGGUGCCUGACAAAAAAACCUAGUUACUCCUUGACCCUGUCAGGCCUCGAGGAAGGUGAGGCCUCCCCAGGCAACCUUAAGGUCUUCGAAAGAAUCCUGACGGUUCUUAGGGAAUGGACUGUCGGGAAACAGGAACGAGUUCCAGAGCCCAGGACCCUGGAUUAAGAAGAGAAACUUGGAAAGGUUAGAGGCAAGGCCCACUGGUGCUCCGAGCUGGUGCUCAGAGCUGCCAGCCUGUGAUCAGCUCUCCUGAAGAUGAAGCAAUCUCUUGGGGCCUGUAGGAUUCUAGGAUUCAAAUAGGACUGUUCUCUUCAUUCUGAUGCUUUGCUAUCUGGGUCUGGCUAAGCCUGUCCCGCCAGUUUAGCCGAUUUCCUUUCCUCAGAUCUCAGAGUCUAAGUUAGUGUUCACUUCCCCCAGGCACCCAGAGUUAGAUGUCAGAUGACUAGGUCGUUUACAUGCCCUAAAGCCUACGAAAACCCUUAAAAUUAGCUAAACACACACCCUUUAACUCUCCUGGUCUCUUCCUUCCAUGAAAAUCACAAUGCAGGUUCUUGUUUAUAAGGCAAAUGCAGUUAUGGUCACUCGCGAUGCCACUCUCCUUCCUCUAUGAGCCAAAAAAAAAAAAAAAAAAAAAAAAAAAAACAAAAAAAAAAAAAAAAAAAAAAAAAACCAACAACAAAAAAAGAAACAUUUUUUCAGUGGCAGUAGUCUCCACUAAUGGUCUUGCCUUCCCUCGAUAAUCAAAUAAUAAAAUCUAGCAAAACUGUAGUGUGCAAAAAAAAAAAAAUUGGAGCUCGCGUGCCAGGCCAGCAUUAUCACGGUGGCCCCAAGGCUGAGGACACACAGCCUCUAGUGCCGCCAUCUGCUCCCAGUAGCUGUGGAAGGCGCAGAGGGCAGCAUUUCCGGGUGUUUCAGAACACGCGCGUCGUUGGAAUUUAACUUCGCGACCUUACCUAACCGAAGAAAAACAACGCGCCUAGAGCAGGGAGGCCUGGUACACGACACCCAGACAUCUGCGGAGACAGAGAUGGCUGGGAGGGAUUUGUCCUUGUUCUCUGCUCCAGUCCAGGGCGCAUGCCAUUUGUCCUUCAGCUGCACCUAGACCCCAUGGCUGCGUCGGACCAGACAUAUCCGGCAGAACAGAUGUGGGGACAAGAGCUAUGCCUUCGACUCUGUCCUUGGAUCUAGAUCUAGCUUUUCGCUGAAGUCCAAAGCCUUCACGCUGUGAGUAAAAACUAAAAGUGCAUCAGGGCUCGUCCGGGAUUUGAACCCGGGACCUCUCGCACCCAAAGCGAGAAUCAUACCCCUAGACCAACGAGCCACCGCGGGAACGAGCGGCGUUCAUGUCUUUGGAUACCUUCAUCGACACACUACGUCCAUAAAACCGAUUCUUUUAGUGAUGCCCGGAAGAGUUCAGAGUUCGUAAACCGAGGGAGAUGCGGCACGGCGGGGACGGAAGAGAAAGUUCCUACAGGCUCAGGGUAGGUCAGACCCCAGCCCUGAGGCCAAGCGUUCGGCGUGAAUGACCAGGGACCACCGUCCUCCGGGAAAAGGAAGUCAGAGAGCUCGCGAGGUGGACCCCAGCUUAGAAAUUUCACCCCAAAUAGAAUCCAAGUGCAGAAUCCCGAGAAUGAGACUGGAGAUUGCCGCCUCCUGAUCCGCCAGUCCCCGCGGACAAAGCCAGGAUCCUCCAAAGACCCGCAGAUCCCGUCCCUUGGCCAAGCCCACUCCGGCCUGGCCUCGGCCCUGAAGACCCGCGCGGCUCAGAGACACAGAUACAGAAGCCAGAGCUGGACCCCAGGUUCGGUUCUUCCGAAUCCAGCGGCAGAGCGAACGCCCCAAACUUCACCUCCGCAUAGCGUUUGGCCCGGGACCCAUUGUCCCUGCGGCGAGUUGGAAAGCACAAGCUCACACAUGGUCAUUAGAUCGUGAAACCAGUCAGGCCCUAAUCGGGGCUCUCACUAACAUCCGCACAGACCACCACCUAGAGCCCUUCUGUGGCUCCCGGGGACGGGAGGGGCCACAUGACCCUGGCCGUGCAAUUUUAGGAGGUUGGAGGAGUAAACCCACCACCAUCUAAGGCUAGAUGCUCGUCCAAAAGGCCAGAGCAAGUUCCAAGUGUUCUAGAACCCGGAAGUUCUCAAGAACUCCAAGAGGCUUGUGGGAAGACGACUGUCAUCGCCGCCCGGCUAGCUCAGUCGGUAGAGCAUGAGACUCUUAAUCUCAGGGUCGUGGGUUCGAGCCCCACGUUGGGCGAGCAGUUUUGCCUAUGUAUGAAGUGGGCAGAAGUCUGUACACUGAAAGAGAAGUGUAGUGUAAUGUAGACUGUAUGCCAGAGGAUCUCAUAAACCGUGCUGUAUAUUCUGUAUAUACUCGGCAGGUUACAGAGUCAGGAACUUUACCUUUAUAUUAAUAUUCUUAUGUUUAACCUGACACUUUACAAAUAUAUUUACAUACAAGUUCCAGGUACUGUACAAAGAACUUCAUGACUCUUGUCUAAGGACACUAAUUGGUGAGGGGCGCCACUUCUCAGGAAUGCCUUGAAACUCCCAAAACUCAACAGACUUCUUUCCAUCCUCGAUGAUGCUUAGAGGAACUAAGAAUGGUCCAGUGUGGAUUGUUUUACCUGUAUGCCGGUAAAGUCGGGAAAGCACCUAAAUCCUUGGGCUAUGGGAACCGAGUCCUUUCAAGAUUGUCUAAAACAAGUUUCUAGCGGAGCCUAUGGUGGCUCCACUGGUGCUAAAAGUGUCUGCUUUCCGUCUUGGGGAGCAGAAAUCAUUGUGAAAAUGUUGAAGGCACAGGGUCAGAAAACAAAAUAAAUAGGAAGUCCUCCAGCACCCUCCCUUGUUUAAAGCAGGUUUCUAAAAGCAAGUUCCGGUCCAGUUUGUCCUGGAACUCGAGAUGUAGCCCAGGCUAGCCUCGAAAAGACUCACCUGCCUCUGCCUCCCUAAUGCUGCGAUUAUAGGGUGAGCACCACCACCCACCUUUGAACCUUUCUCUAAGUAACAAAAGCCAUGAAUUGUUCUAAAACAAAACAAAACAAAAACAAAAACAACAACAAAAAAACAAACAGAAGUGUCUCUUGUUGAAUCUCUAGAAAGCCAAGGCCAAAACCCAAAGACCUCCAUACAAUCAAUCAUCUUGUAGCCACAGGGCUGCUCUUGUUAAAACAGACAAAGAAAAUAUAAUUUCACCGUGCAUGUUGCAGAAUCAUAUGUAAGGUGAACCAACAGCCUCAGAGAGGCCUUCCUGUGAAAGACAGGACAGGACAGGACAGGACAGGACAGGACAGGACAGGACAGGACAGGACAGGACAGGACAGGGGAGAGGGAACCACAAUAAAAUUGCACAUCUAAAAUCUGAG
rnacentral:tRNA from 1 species